GGAUGUGUGUCUGUCGAUAAGGAGCACGUCUGAUCACAUACGUACUAUUCAUCGCUCGGAGUCCUCUUGUUCUUCAUACUUGCGGCUCUGUACUGGUCGAUCCCGUCAGGGGGGCCCCUCUACAAUGGGCCGCUCUGGAAUUGGCGACUUGUGGCUAUCCUUGCAUUCCAGAGCCAACACUAGCGCAGCAUAACACGGCCUACUAAGGUGACUGGCAAAUGACAGACAGACUUUAGACAAGCUUCAAAAUUCAUGUUGUUACCAUUUAGCCUUCUAGUUUCGAUUGCAUGCUUCCACUGUUCAACGGCCAAGCAAGACCGGUUGAGAGUCAAACGUGAAGAAAGUUAGGGACUAGCCGAGACGAGGUAAGCGCAAUGGAGGUCAAUCUGGUCGUUUUUGUAGCUGUCUUGCUCCACAGUCUGUACAGGGUAAGGUAAGUAAGUCUGUAUUGUCGUCCUUGAUCAAUCUAGGCUAUUCGUUUCACAUUUCCGAAGCAGUAUAGCGCCUUGGCGGCUAGAGCGUUCUCACGGGAAUUGGGACGGAGCUCAUCGAGAUGCGACCAUUGCAAACAGUGCAAACAUUGAGGGAAGGCACUGGAGCCAAUCGCCUUCCCCCAUCGCUUGCCUUUUCAGGACUAGCCCUGAAGCUCCCUUUCUUCACUUCGUCGAAAGUUAGAAACAUUCCGACUCACCACUCACCCCGAAAGAGAAACUGGGGGACCAUGCGAAGCCACGAAAAAAAAAAGACGAAAAAGAAAAGAAAAGAAAAAUGGAAAAAGAAGGUGUGAUGACUCACUGGGCCACCUCGUUGGCUACCUCGUUUAGCUAGUUAGUCAGACAGUCGACCUGCCCUCAGUCUAACCAGUCAAUCCCUGGUCGCAGUGGCCUGAAGACAGGCCUAAGACAGACCUGGGUUUAUUGAUCCCCUCAAACAACGAACAGCUGAUUCACUACGUAGAGUGCUUAUAAUCCCUCCGUUACCUAACUUAGUGUUUGGUGUCCUCGAUUUCCGUGGUCUCUACGUAAUAUGUGGAUGCCACCGUAGGUCGUUGGCUUGCUGAUGAUGACGGUGCUGGUUCAGGUCGAA
rnacentral:lncRNA from 1 species